CCUACGGGUGGCAGCAGUGAGGAAUAUUGGUCAAUGGGCGGGAGCCUGAACCAGCCAAGCAGCGUGAGGGAAGAAGGUACUGCGUAUUGUAAACUUCUUUUGUCAGGGAACAAAGGCGGGGACUAGUCCCCGGAUGAGUGUACCUGAAGACAAAGCAUCGGCUAACUCCGUGCCAGCAGCCGCGGUAAUACGGAGGAUGCGAGCGUUAUCCGGAUUUAUUGGGUUUAAAGGGUGCGCAGGGGGGCGGUUAAGUCAGCGGUAAAAGCCCGGGGCUAAACCCCGGAGUGCCGUUGAUACUGGCGGGCUUGAGUAGGGUAGAGGUAGGCGGAAUUCGCGGUGUAGCGGUGAAAUGCUUAGAUAUCACGCAGAACCCCGAUUGCGAAGGCAGCUUACCGGCUCCACACUGACGCUGAGGCACGAAAGCGUGGGUAUCGAACAGGAUUAGAUACCCCAGUAGUC
rnacentral:rRNA from 1 species